rnacentral:rRNA from 2 species
GUCUGCUUGGAGAUAUAAGAAGUCUAGCCUGCUCUCUGAUUAGUUUAAGGGCCGCGGUAAUUUGACCGUGCAAAGGUAGCAUAAUAGUUAGUUUUUUAAUUGGAAUCUUGUAUGAAUGGUUGGACAAAAGAAAUACUGUCUCUAUAAUUUAUAUUGAAUUUAACUUUUGAGUGAAAAGGCUUAAAUUAUUUAAAAAGACGAUAAGACCCUAUAAAUCUUUAUAAAUAAAUUCUGUUUAGUUAAAUUUAAGAUAACGGUUUAAUAGUUUUAUUUUAUUUUGUUGGGGAGACAAUAUUAUAAUGUAAAAUAACUGUGAGUUAGUAAAACAAAUAUAGAUGGUUAAGAAGUAAAUGAUCCUAUUUAAAGAUUAAAAGUUUAAGUUACUUUAGGGAUAACAGCGUUAUUUUUUUUGAGAGUUCAUAUCGAAAAAAAAGAUUGCGACCUCGAUGUUGAAUUAAAAUUUCUAGGUAAUUGCAGAAGUUACUUUAGAAGGUCUGUUCGACCUUUAAAUUUUUACAUGAUUUGAGUUCAGACCGGCGUGAGCCAGGUCGGUUUCUAUCUUUUAAUGAAUAAUAAGUUAUUUUAGUACGAAAGGAUUGAAUAGCUAAAUUUUUUUUUGUGAUGGUAAGCUAUUUUGGCAGAUAAUAUGCGUUGGA